rnacentral:rRNA from 1 species
GAUGAACGCUGGCGGCGUGCUUAACACAUGCAAGUCGAACGAAACACCUUAUUUGAUUUUCUUCGGAACUGAAGAUUUGGUGAUUGAGUGGCGGACGGGUGAGUAACGCGUGGGUAACCUGCCCUGUACAGGGGGAUAACAGUCAGAAAUGACUGCUAAUACCGCAUAAGACCACAGCACCGCAUGGUGCAGGGGUAAAAACUCCGGUGGUACAGGAUGAACCCGCGUCUGAUUAGCUGGUUGGUGAGGUAACGGCUCACCAAGGCGACGAUCAGUAGCCGGCUUGAGAGAGUGAACGGCCACAUUGGGACUGAGACACGGCCCAAACUCCUACGGGAGGCAGCAGUGGGGAAUAUUGCACAAUGGGGGAAACCCUGAUGCAGCGACGCCGCGUGAGUGAAGAAGUAUUUCGGUAUGUAAAGCUCUAUCAGCAGGGAAGAAAAUGACGGUACCUGACUAAGAAGCCCCGGCUAACUACGUG